rnacentral:rRNA from 1 species
UUAUCUCUGUAGAGUCUGCAUAUCAAUAAGCGGAGGAAAAGAAACUAACAAGGAUUCCCUUAGUAACGGCGAGUGAAGCGGGAAGAGCUCAAAUUUGAAAUCUUCAAGGUUCUACCUUGACGAAUUGUAGUUUAAAGAAGUGUUUUCUGUUAGAUGAGUAGCAAAAGUUCCUUGGAAUGGGACAUCAUAGAGGGUGAGAAUCCCGUAUUUGGUUAUUCAUUCUAGCUUUGUGAUACACUUUCAAAGAGUCGGAUUGUUUGGGAAUGCAGUCCAAAAUGGGUGGUAAAUUUCAUCUAAAGCUAAAUAUUGGCGAGAGACCGAUAGCGAACAAGUACCGUGAGGGAAAGAUGAAAAGAACUUUGAAAAGAGAGUUAAACAGUACGUGAAAUUGUCAAAAGGGAAGCGUUUGACACCAGUGUUGUUUUUCCGAAAAUCAAUUACGAAUGGCUUGAUUUUGUGUUGUAUUGACCUUAUCAGCUUUCUUCACUUUUUUCGAGUUUUUCUUAAUGCACUUUUUGGUUAACAAGUCAACAUCAAUUUCUUUUGUUGUAAAAGAGUAUUCGGAAGGUGGCUUUCUUUUCGGAGAAAGUGUUUAUAGCCCUAUACUUCUACAAUCGGAGAGAUUGAGGUCUGCAGCGUAGAUCCUUCGGGGUUAGAUACACUUGUGCUAAGUUGUAGCUUUUCAUAGACAACUUGUUGACUAUGUUUAGUCAUGCGGCUUACUCGCUUGUGCUAUUUUACCUACGCUUAGGAUGUUGACUGAUAUGUAGUCGUA